GACAGAGGUGCCGAGCGUUAGGCGGAAUCACUGGGCUUAAAGCGCGUGUAGGCGGGCCGUUAAGUACCUUGUGAAAUCCCCCGGCUCAACCGGGGAACGGCUGGGUAUACUGGCGGCCUUGGGCCACCUAGGGGUCAUCGGAACAGGCGGUGGAGCGGUGAAAUGCGUAGAUAUCGCCUGGAACGCCGACGGUGAAAACAGAUGACUGGGGGUGUGCCGACGCUGAGACGCGAAAGCCAGGGGAGCGAACGGG
rnacentral:rRNA from 1 species